GGGGGGGAGCGAUGGGUUUGAAGUGUCCCAUGUGCUGAGUUGAAUCUCACAUUUCUAGCUUUUUUGGCUAGCCAGGAAUUGGUUUUAAAAAAGAAGCCUCUCCCAUAAACAGAUGCAGCCUGGUAAACUUGCACUUGGCUGGCUGCAUGCUCGCAGCGGAGGCCUUGUAUUAUCCCUGUGCAUCCCAGUUGCCGAGAACACGGCUCUUCUUCCCUUGGCAAAGAUGAUUCUUUUGUUUUGCCUUUGUGGCUGUUUAUUCCCUUACCAGCAGCUCUUUCCAGCUCUCUCUUAACAUACACCUGUCCCCUAUUCUGCUGGAGAGGAUUUGGCAGAAUGCAACCCUUUUUUCUCACGUAGUUUGGAUCUGUAAUAAAGAUGUCUGUUUUGGCAGCUCGUGGAGCUUCUCUGACAAAUACUGUUACUAAUUAUUACUGUUUUUAUGGAGUUUAUUUAUAGUUUCCGUUCAGUGUUUUGAAACAGGGCUAGGCAGACUUCAGCCUGGUUGAAUCUCCUCUCUGUGUGUGUUGUGGUUUUUUUGCUAGAACCCCAAUAAUUGGUACUAGUAGCUGGAGUCAGGUGCAAGAGUCAAUUAGAAUUGAAGAAUAGACUGCCUCUGGUGUAUUAUGAGCUUAGGAAUUUGUUUUCAAUACCAGAAGUCAACUGAGCCUACAGUUCCUUCUCACGAAAGUCUGCUUUCUUUAUUUCAACAGCCUAAUUUGUUUUGUUUUCUUGAACAGUUGGUGCCAAAAUCACCUAGAGACCAACCUUCUCUCUCUCUCUCUCUCCCCCCACCCCCAUUUUAAAGCUAUUUACACAAAUUAUCUAGGACCCCAUAAAUGUUCUGGAGGAACUUGAGAGCUGAAUAAGGUAUUCCCAUAUUGUUGAUGAGGGAUGUAGGCUGAGAGAGUGCUUGCUUAAGACUCUCUGGUGAGUUUGUAGCUCUGGACAAUUUCCAGCUCAUUUUCUUGGCCAUUACGCAAGAGUCCGAACAUAAUCAUCUUGCCUUGGGAUUGGCAACCCCUUAACUGGAAAAGGAAAGAAACUCUGAACUAUUUAUAUCCCACCUUUCUUCCAAGGAGCCCGAGGUGGCGUACCUGGUACUCCGCCUCUCCACAUCAUCUUCACAACGGUCCUGUGAGGUAGGUUAGCUCGAGAAACUGACUGGCCUGAGAUCACCCAACAAGUUUCAUGACUUGAGUUGGGAUUCACCCACUGGUGAACACUUGGUGCUAAACCACACUGAGUCUCUUGAGUGUAAGUCAAGAGGAAUUGACUAUUGAUGGCCCGCAAACUGGCCCACAGUAUUUCUGGAGGAACUUGUGGUGAUGUUUCCUACCUGGCAGAUGACCCACUUGUGGGGGGAGGCUUCUGAGAUAUGACCCUGCACUUCCAGUCUUCUGUAGAGGGCAUGCCAUCCCUCCUUGCCCUUUCUUGGCCCCUUGGUUCCUGGGACAAACCUCUCAACUUCUGGUAGAAGUGUUUUGUUGGUUCUCGUUCUACUGUUGGGAACAAUCCUCCAUAUUGGAAAUCACUGACUAUCAUUGUCCUGUUCAUAAAGUAUAUCUGAGUAGUAAUGUGCUUGUUCCUGCAUAAAACCCCUACAGGAGUAGUAAUUAACGCUUCUAGUUUUUGUUGUUAUGAGAACAGUUACACAGAUCUGUGGGCAAGGGGAUACAAUGAGAAACAGCUAAAUCUGCUGGAAUUCGUUGUGAUGUUGAAGGGGCAGUUGAAGUUUGCAACACAGAGUUGAGUGGUUGUGAAAACACCUUGGCUAGGCAGACACUGGUGGUGUAAGUGAGUCUUUAAUGAUAUCUCUGGCAGAAUGACUGGUAGUCCAUUCAUGUGCCUCUCUUUAUUUUUAUUUUUGGAUGCACUUACCGCUUCGACUUGCAUCUGAAAGAGCAAUAGGUGUUUUAUGACAUCAUGGGUUUCCACAGAGACCGAAAGAGAGGGGUGAUUUCCUACACUGCCUAUCUCAGAAUAGCUUUGGGUUUUUCUCUUUUAUAAGGGAAUCUCUCUUACACAAUCCCACAUGCCUAGAUUGAUGUAGCCAGCCACACUUUGUGAACUCCUUGCCUCUUUCUGGAAGAGCUCACUGUAGGAUGAAUUAAGAAAAGAGGGACUGGAGCAAUAAGGCUGCUGUAAGACACGAGUGUGGAUAUGUUAUCCUUUGUGGAUAUUUUUACACUCACAUCUUUUGUUCUGGCAUACACCACGUCACAGACACCUGCAUCUUGUUGUUGCAGUUCUAUGCACCAUCCUGUACAUUUACAUGCUGGAGCAGCAAGCACUGGGGUUGUGCCACAUGGCUUCAAAGGAGCCGACAGAACGGUUAAUGCCUAUAAAGAAAGAGGCACUGAAGAGGUGGAGGCCAUAGUUGCUACAUUGUCAUGACCCCAGUACCAGCAAUGACCUGGACACAGAGUUAGAGGCUGCAGGGGCACCAGAAUAGGAGCUGGGUCUGGGCUUAGAUCUGACUGCAGAAGAUAGGAAGACCACUGCACUUGAGAGAGAACUCUCAGACUACCAGGCCUAUGGAACCAAAAGUCUGGACCUUCAUGGACACCUUCUUCUGAGUCUGAAGAACCAGAUGCCUCCCACCACACACCACCAGUCUUGGGAGUACUAGGACUUCACCAGGAGGAAGGAAGCAGGAGCACCCAACAUCUUUAGACCUGAAGGUUGGCCCUUUAAGGCUCUGAAGUUCUCUGAAGGGGGUUAAACCUAGAGGAGGUAUUCUGGAGCCAGGACCCCAAAAGGCCUCAGUGUGCUCCCAACUUUUGUUGGAGCACCUUGCUUGCUUGGAGCUGUCCAUGGUCUAGCCUUGCCUCUUGUCAUGCUGUUUUCCUCGUGGGUCCAGACAUUGGACCAGAACACAGCACACACUAUUUGAAUGCAGAAGGUCCCCAGGCCUAUCUUUGGCAUCUCCCUUCAGAAAAAAAGAGGGGGAAAGCCCAAAGGUCUCAGCAGGCCUGGAAAAGAUACCUGCCAGAGCCCUUGGAGAGUGGCUUCCAGUCAGAGUAGCCUGCUAUUAAGCUAGAUGGGGUGGUCAGAAUUUAAGGUAGACAAUGAUCUACUGGUAGGUUAUUGGCCAAUUUCUAGUAGACCUUCCUGGUGGUGUUGGUUGCGGGGAUCCUUCCAAGAAUAUUGGACCUUGGGUGGAUUCUGAUAGGCAUAUCUCUCUUCUGCUUUCUGGGUGUUUAUGAAAGUUGGCUGUUUCUGGGUCAAAGAUCUGAAACUCGCAGAAUGUGUUUCACUGUGAUUGCUUAUCUACCCAGAGCUCUGUCGCAGCUUUCAAGUCAAUGAAUGCAUCUCUGAUUCUUAGUAAUCAAGCAACAGGAUCACCAGUUUUGGCAGUAGCCUGGCAUUUGGGAGGAACAGCUACUACUAAUAGCUGGUUAAGGGGGAUCAGAUCACUUUCCUAUCUAAUCCAGAUAGCUUUAUCUGAGGGCAUUGACUCUGUUAAUUAUAACGAAACAUGCCCAACGGAAGUUGCUGCUAAGCAUCUUAAACUGUCAGAUGAGUACUUGGGCUUCUGUUGAAAUCCCAUUUUAGCCUACUGCUGCAAAUGCCAGCCCCUUCAAACCAGGCAGUGUUGGUGAAACAUACAGAGGCCCUUACCCUGUUAAGACACCAUGUUGAACUUAACUACUAAAGAAAUGUACUGUAUGGGGAGGCAUUUUGUUGUUGCCUGUGGGUAACAUGCCAAUCCAUCUUGCAAACGAUGCCCCCAUUUUAUUGGGUUGUCAUUUCCAUAAAGAGGUUCCACCAGAAGAAUUCCCAGUAAAAACUCCUUGCAGGAAAGAGGGUGAGGGGAAUCUUCUUAACACAGCAGUUCCAAGGGGUUAUAUGGAUAUGGUUAUAUGGAUGAUAUUGCUAAAGAGCAUCUCUACAAGGUGUCCACCUCUACAAAAUACUACCUACCAGUAGAUGCUUCUGCAUGUCUCUUCUAGAUGUAUCUCCCACUUCUAGAUGCUUGGAGCAGACGAAGGAGACCUGUUGGUAUUAUGAGCAUCCAAAAAUCAUCUUCGUGGCUACUGCAGCGCUGAGCUAGAGAAACCUUGCUUUGAUCCAGCAAGUCAAUUCAUUACAUAGAUUUAAUCCAUUUUGAUGGAGUCCUAAGUAAGGAAGGUGACACAUCCCUCCUGUGAAAAGCAAAGGUAGUCCCUGUUGGCUUGUGAGUGAAAUCUCAAAAUCCACACUUAUUGGGCCUAUCAGAAGGUUGCAGAAUUCGUGUGUAAGCUCAGGUUAUCCAAAGCUGUUCAUCAGCAAAGAUGAUAAACAAGACAAAAGGGGUGAGAGGAGGGAGAAAAGAUGGGAAGCAUUCUUUUGGAAUAUCAUUUCUGUUGUAAUGAGAUGGCAGAAACAUAUGUGAAUUGACUGCACCAGGUGCCAUUGUGCCAUCUUAGUUUUGCUCCAGGUCUUUUAAAAAUCUGUCAGAGGACUUAAUUUCCUUAUUGUUUUCAUGGGCACAGAACUUUUAAAGUUCCAGUUGCGCUAGAAAGUCAUGCUGUCUCCUUCUCUGUAAAGUUCUGUGCCCUUAUGCCAAAUGGCAGGCUGAGAUCCCUUGAAAAUCCCAGAGAGAAGCCUGAACAGUUCAUUAUUACAGACAUCUUUUCUCUCUCUCUUUUGGAGCAAUGUAUGUUGUUGUUUAUACCGAAGCAAGCUGAAAAGCAAGGCUGCUCGCUUGUUUGUGGUUUUGGCUUUUGCAUACUAGCUCCAAGCGGAAUUGCAAUAUCCUGUCCUGUUUGUGGGAUCAAAGAGCAUGGCUCUUAUUCCAGAUUAAAUUGCGUCAGAAUAAACGCUGCUCUUCGGUUGUAUUUUCGCCAGCCCUCGACACAACCAGAAUUGCUGUUUUAUUUUCAAGGGCUUAAACUGGAUAGGUUAACCCAAACACACUAACUUUGUAUCCCUGCAGAUUGAGUAAAUUUACUUUUUAAUGGGGUUUUUUACCACUUUGGCUUUACCCGAAAUUUAACCUAUACUGCCCACUCUCCUAGUCAUUAAUUUUGGCAUUGCAUUAGAAUUGCUUCUCAGCCCUUUAAAUACUAAAAUCCAUUCUUUUUGUGUGGUUGGGCAAACCUGUCCAUCUGUCUUCAGGGGUUACUAAUCCACAUUAAGGAUACAUACUUGAGAUGGCUUAAUGGAGAUUAUUUUCCCUUUUAGUUACGCCUUUGUACUUGCAACUCUGUUCUUAGAAAUGAAGAGAGGGAGCAGCAGAGAAAUGUAGCGCUACAGAAAAUGUCGUACAAAGGUCUUCUUAUCCUCCUUCACCAUCCACAAUAACAUUAGCUAUGACCUCGAGGAGCUUUACUCGCUUUUAUAAAAAGAGAGAAAUGUUCUAUGAGGCGUUCCUUCUGUGCCAUUUUAAUCCUCGGCUAAUUAAUCGGCAUAAUCGUGCCCGAGGGAUGCAGGGUAGUAUGCCAUCUCCGAAUUAACGCUCCUAAAUAUCUGGUUGUGUGAGAAGUCAUAACAGGGAAUGGGGAGGAGCACGGGAACUCUUAAAAACUGAUUUGAAUAGUGACAAGGGACCCAAAAACAGAGAUCCUUAUCAUUGUUGCCAACGGCGCAGGGGAUGUAGGGCGGGCGAAGCCAACUAAACAGUGGUAGGUGCCAGACAGACAUCGAAUCCUCCUUUCUCUUAGCCUCGCGGGGGAAUUCAGAAGGGGAAAUAAAUGGAACUUGUGUAUGCCAAAGCUGUGAGAUUAUUUCACUUUGGGCGGGUGUGUCUAUUCCAGCUGAGGUUUUGCAGCCAGCCUGCAUCUGACCGAUGCGAAAUCUUGAAGCUAAAAUCCCUAGCUGGAAAACAUUGGUCACCUGAGAGCACAGAAGGCAAAUGGUUCUGUUGGAUUUUGCAAUAAUAGAUCAUUUGCCCUGCCAACUGUUUCUGGAUGGUUUUUGGAAGGGGUUUUCGCAGCUGCACUUUGAAGAUCCUUGGGUCCCUGAAAGACAGCAACCUGAUGCUAUCGAGUUUUUGAUAAAUUUGAUAUCUUGUGAAUAAUAUGCACACAGAGUUUGCCAAUGCAAGUUUCCACAUGUAAAUGCAGAGUCGAACAAGGUGUGAAAAUAUUCCACCACAAAUUCCUCUCAGUUCUUCUCUUUUUUUUGGGGGGGGGAGUACUGGGUUUUCUUGGGGUGGGGAGCAGGAAUUGUGUGUCAGGUACAGUUUGGGAAGCCUGGGCACAUGUCAAGUCACUCUGCCCCAAUUUUCUGUCUGUAAAAUGGGGAUGUCAUGCUGUCACAGUGCAGUUGCAAGACUGGAAAACAUUUUGGCAAUUAGAGCUGCUAUUUGAGUGGUAAUUAACACCACCAUCUAGCUAGUCACACCAAAGGGCAUUAGCAUAUUCAUAGUCCUCAUUAGGUGACGGGCUCAGAAUAAAUAGGCUUUCUAGAUAUCUUUUUUCACGAAGCAAAGGAAGAUAAAACACUUGAAAUAAGUGACACUAGCUCUGUUGAAUACAAAUGCACAAAGUGCUUAAGACUAACCUUGUACAUUUGUAUGUCAGAUCUGUUUCCCUGUCUGUAUCUAGUCUGAAAGUCUAGGUUUUGUAAUUUUAGAGAAGAACUAUCAUUUUACUUCUCUGGAGUGUGAUGGCAAUACAUUUACAGCAUCACACCUCUUUACUCCAUAGUGAGUAGCUCAGGAAAACUACCAUCCCUGAGAUGGUAUCCCACCCACUUCUUGUGAAUGAAAAAUAAGAAAAUAAAAGUAAAACCCUCCCGUACCCCCAUAAGUGUGUUUUGAUAGUGCAGGGAUAUCUACUCUGAUUGUGGGUUUGUCCUCUUUCAUUUAUAUUCAUUUAUUCUUCUUGUCACUGAGAUGCGGGUGGCGCUGUGGGUUAAACCACAGAGCCUAGGAGUUGCCGAUCAGAAGGUUGGUGGUUUGAAUCCCUGUGACGGGGUGAGCUCCCGUUGCUCGGUCCUUGCUCCUGCCCACCUAGCAGUUCGAAAGCACGCCAAAGUGCAAGUAGAUAAAUAGGUACCACUCAGGCAGGAAGGUAAACGGUGUUUCCAUGUGCUGCUCUGGUUCUCCAGAAGCAGCUUAGUCAUGCUGGCCACAUGACCCAGAAGCUGUACGCCGGCUCCCUUGGCCAAUAAAGCGAGAUGAGCGCCGCAACCCCAGAGUCGGUCACGACUGGACCUAAUGGUCAGAGGUCCCUUUACCUUUACCUUUAUUCUUCUUGUCAUUCUUCCUGCAGUUAGGAGCCCAGGGCAGUUAGCAACACCCUUGCAAAUAAAAUCAACAUGAAACAAAAGCACCUUAAAACCCACAUUGCAGUAGAAUGCAGCAUUGCAGGCAGCGAUCACUGGGCUCCACUCUGGAUAUGAACCAACCAAACAAGCAGUAGUCACCUGAACACAGUUUGUGGGGCAAGGUGAUCUCCACCAGAAGGAACUUUCACAGCCAGGGUGCUGCCACCGAGAAGGCCCUGCUUUGCAUCACUGCCCUAUGGAACAUGUUCUUCUGGGGAACCAGGAGAAGCUCCUUCCCCACUGAGAUCAAGAUGUGGGGGAAGACAUCCUUCUAAGUGUUUGGGUUCCAUCCUGCUCAGUGGUGCACUCAUGCUAACACUUCAGAUUUGGUCCCAGUAGCUUAUGGGCAGUCACUGCAACUCAUGAUUCCUAAAUAUAUAUAUGCAGCCGGUGGCAUGAAAGCCAUUUUUUUCAUAGAUUGAUCCCAUGACCAUCUAGGCCAGAGGAUGUUUUAGGCUGUCUCUGCCAACACCUGGGGCUGAGAAAUGGCCCCUCCUCCACCCUCUGGCAUUUUAAAGGACUCAGCCAGAAGCUCUCUCUUUUCCCCUCAGUUAGUAAUGAAUUAUGAAUUGUUUCGAUGCCUUUAAAAAAAGAGAGUUUAUGCCUCUUUUAAAAAACCAUUCUGAAAGGUCUUUUGUAGGGAGAGACUACAAUCAACAGAUUGGAUGUGUUUAUAUUAUUACUCGAUGUUAUCUCGUGAACCGCUUUGAGCAUAGUGCCCACAGGAAAGCGGUGGCGCUCCCUCUGACAGUGGACUCAGAUGUUGGUGCCAACAAGAUGGUAGCCAAAUUGGAGCCAAUGUGAAGCGACUGGGAAGUAUCAGCAUGCUCAAGAAAUCUUGGAGGUUUACAGAAGCACAGAAAAAACCACACCCAAAGAGGCAAAAACAAAACUUUUUUUUUUAAAAAAAAACAGUCUAAUGAACCUGAUCCUCCCUUAGAAUGUAGAGUGUCAAUUGGAGACGAAAAAUGGAGCUUGAUAUGCAGAACAGAAGAGAAAGAAAGGAUCUUGUUGGAGGUCAUGGUCAGCAAGAAUACCCUUAAUGCCUUUCAAGGGAGGGAGGAUAUACUGUAGUGGUUUUUUUGUUGCAAGUCAUAUUUGUGCAAAAUACAGUGGCUGUGUUUCUGAAAGUACGCAUGAACAUUGCAACCACAGGUAAAAAAGAUAAAGGACCCCUGGAUUGUUAAAUCCAGUCAAAGGUGACUAUGGGGUUGCGGCGCUCAUCUUGCUUUACAGGCCAAGGGAGCCGGCGUUUGUCCACAGACAGCUUUCCGGGUCAUGUAGCCAGCAUGACUAAACUGCUUCUGGCGCAGUGGGAUACUGUGACGGAAACCAUAGCGCACGGUGAUGCCGUUAACCUCCCCGUCGCAGCGGGACCUAUUUAUCCACUUGCGCUGGUGUGCUAGGUUGGCAGGAUCUGGGACAGAGCAACGGGAGCUCACCCUGUCGCGGGGAUUCGAACCGCCGACCUUCUGAUUGGCAAGGCGAAGAGACUCAGUGAUUUAGACCACAACACUGCAUGAAGGGAGUAUGUCAGUUGAACGGGAAAGACCCAUGUGGCCAACAUGGUUGUGAUAUUGUAUCAUACUCUCCAAGGGCUAUGAGGUCAGGUGGCGGGGGCAGUGGGGCACCCAUAGAAGGUGGGAGCUCCACUUGGGCUUCCACCAAAUGAGGCGGCUUUCUCACCUUGCUUCAUGGGCAGACCAGCCCUGAGGAAGGAGCUCUUAAAUUAUUAUUAUUAUUGUUCAGGGAAGUUUUAAUAUGCCUAGAGUGGCUGGGGAAACCCAGCCAGAUGGGUGGGGUACGAAUAAAUUAUUAUUAUUAUUAAUAAUAAUAUUAUUAAUUUAUUAUGCCAUGAGCUGUAGGGCAGAGACCUCUCUCUCUCUCUCUCUCUCUCUCUCUCAACUUCUCACCCCAUCUAGGUUGGAAAGUAGACAUUCUCUGAGUCAGCUUUAAUCAAGUUUCUUUUAAAAGACCCCAAAAAAACCGUGGCUGUUCCCAUGAAGUUGUACCUAGCAGCUCAUAUUUUUGGCAUUUCCUCUUCAUGUUCUUUUUUUAAGAGUGGGGAGGGAUCUGAGCCUGGCUUUUGUUAUGGGAAGAGAUGCAGAGUGACUCUUCGAAACUUUAGUCGGAUUAUGACACAGACUUCCUGCUUGCUGAGUAAUCAGUCUGUACGUUGGCUUGUGGUAGAUUUUGUCUUUGGGCAAGAGAGAGAGAGAGGGAGAGGAGGGGAGUGGCUGGCCCUGGUGUGGAAGGAGAGGGAGCAAGAGAAGGGAAACUGUUCGUUUGGAUUAGGGCAAGAUGGCUGGGAAGUGCUGCAAAGUACGUUGGAUCUUCAGGAAUUACUGGGGUCGGGAGGGGGGAGAGUUGUUUAUAAUAAUGGGGGAAAUUGUUUGACAAGAGCCUACUUUGUGUUGUAGGUUAUGGCGUCUGGCUGCGUGCCAUUUCAUCCGCUUUGCUGCGAUUGUGUGCCUUGAAAAACGAGGAGGGGGGGGGC